UGAGUAACACGUAUCCAACCUGCCGUCUACUCUUGGACAGCCUUCUGAAAGGAAGAUUAAUACAAGAUGGCAUCAUGAGUCCGCAUGUUCACAUGAUUAAAGGUAUUCCGGUAGACGAUGGGGAUGCGUCCAUUAGAUAGUAGGCGGGGUAACGGCCCACCUAGUCUUCGAUGGAUAGGGGUUCUGAGAGGAAGGUCCCCCACAUUGGAACUGAGACACGGUCCAA
rnacentral:rRNA from 1 species